UACGUAGGGGGCAAGCGUUGUCCGGAAUUACUGGGCGUAAAGCGCACGCAGGCGGAAUUGUAAGUCCGUUGUAAAAUUCAGAGGCUCAACCUCUGUCUGUCGGCGGAUACUGCAAAUCUAGAGUAUGUGAGAGGGAAGUGGAAUUCCUGGUGUAGCGGUGAAAUGCGUAGAUAUAGGAAGGAACAUCAGUGGCGAAGGCGACCACCUGGACUGAUACUGACACUGAGGUGCGAAAGCGUGGGGAGCAAACAGGAUUAGAUA
rnacentral:rRNA from 1 species